rnacentral:rRNA from 1 species
UACGUAGGGUGCAAGCGUUUGUCCGGAAUUAUUGGGCGUAAAGAGCUCGUAGGCGGUUUGUUGCGUCGGCUGUGAAAUCCCGAGGCUCAACCUCGGGUCUGCAGUCGAUACGAGCAAACUAGAGUGUUGCAGGGGGAGACUGGAAUUCCUGGUGUAGCGGUGAAAUGCGCAGAUAGUCAGGAGGAACACCGGUGGCGAAAGGCGGGGUCUCUUGGGGCAACAAC